CACGUAGGGUGCGAGCGUUGUCCGGAAUUAUUGGGCGUAAAGAGCUCGUAGGCGGUGUGUCGCGUCGGCCGUGAAAACCUGCAGCUUAACUGUGGGCUUGCGGUCGAUACGGGCAUCACUGGAGUUCGGCAGGGGAGACGUGGAAUUCCUGGUGUAGCGGUGAAAUGCGCAGAUAGUCAGGAGGAACACCGGUGGGCGAAGGCGGGU
rnacentral:rRNA from 1 species